AUUGAACGCUGGCGGCAUGCCUUACACAUGCAAGUCGAACGGCAGCACGGGAGCAAUCCUGGUGGCGAGUGGCGAACGGGUGAGUAAAGUAUCGGAACGUGCCCAGUCGUGGGGGAUAACGUAGCGAAAGUUACGAUAAUACCGCAUAAGGUCUAUGGAUGAAAGCGGGGGCUCGCAAGACCUCGAGCAAUUGGAGGGGCCGAUAUCAGAUUAGGUAGUUGGUGGGGUAAAGGCUCACCAAGCCGGCGAUCUGUAGCUGGUUUGAGAGGACGAACAGCCACACUGGGACUGAGACACGGCCCAGACUCCUACGGGAGGCAGCAGUGGGGAAUUUUGGACAAUGGGCGAAAGCCUGAUCCAGCCAUGCCGCGUGCAGGAUGAAGGCCUUCGGGUUGUAAACUGCUUAUGUACGGAACGAAAAGGUUUGGCCUAAUAAGCUGAGCUCAUGACGGUACCGUAAGAAUAAGCACCGGCUAACUACGUGCCAGCAGCCGCCGUAA
rnacentral:rRNA from 1 species